GGUUGCGACAUGGGCAGAAUAUUGCCUCAGCAUCUUGUCCAGCAAAUCAACCCCUACUUUCGUACUGUUGCAAUAAUGGAUCGUCUCUGGCCUCUUCUUUGCAUGAUCACUGAUCUCCACUGACGUGUGCAUGGUGCUGAGGAUGCACACAUUCUUCUUUUCCUUUCCCUGGUAAAUCGUCAAUGUUGCACUCACUCUGCAUAACUCUGGUGCCAUACAGGGCCGCUUUCAGGAGUGAAGAAGGAGGCAGUGAUCUUUUAUUUUUAUUUAAGGCUGGUGUUUUUUGCCAGGAGUUUAUGGGCGAGAGGGAGGGAAGUAAGAAAGAUGUCUGUGGUCACAUUUCUCCCUUUCCCCAAAAAAGGCUCAAUCAGUUUCAAAACAACACUCUCUCCUAGGCUCUGUGUUGUUCAUCUAUUACACUAUUAAGUGUUUGCCACCAGAGUAUCAUUCAAGUCUCAAGUCUCAUUUCUUGUUGGCAAUUUACAAAACUGAUGAUAGGUGUGUCGAUGGUGUUGGAUACUGGAAGGAUGCCUAGCCCAUGGUUCUGUUACACUUUGUCAGAAAGCGUGACAAAGUGUAACAGAAGCGUAACAAAGUUUGGUCUGAGACCGUUCAAGUAUAUAUAGUCGUCCACAUUUCUAAACAUACUGCUGACAUUUAGUUGACCCUAGGAAAAAUCCAUGUACGGCAAGAACAAAGAACAACAUAUUUUUAGGAGCUUCAGGUAAAUAUAUGGAGGGUCAAUAGAAGGAAAUACCAUGACAGAACAUAUUUUGGGGACCUGUGUGAUGUAAAACAUGAGUACAAGGUCCUUGUUGAGGAUAGUUGUCCGAGGCCCAUGGCUCCAGCAAUCUAACACUGAAGUAUCUGAGGUAUUUGAGUGACACAGUUCCACCACUCUAAAGGCUGACAUGACUGGCUAAAGAAACUCAUCCUAACAGAUACAAAAAAAGGUCCAGACUGUAGAGGACUCUGCCUAGAUUCGUGAUAAAGUCAACUUCCACUCAGACCUUCUUGUCUAACAAUCCAAUCGAAACUUGCAUCAAAAGAGACUGCUCCUUCAACAAGUUGCAGCUCUAUCAUGUGACUGACAAUGUUGCUCCUGACACCAUGCAUGACAUCCUUGAGGGCAUGGGUGGUUUUGAACUUAAGCUUGUUGUUAAUUCAUUGAUUGAACCAAAACUUUUCACACUUGAGCAGCUGAACUAUAGACUGACCAGCCUUGACUAUGGGUUUUGUGAUGUUCACAAUAAGCCAUCUACCAUAAAACCCCAGGACUUGAAAAAUUCAGAUGAAGCCCUUUGGCAAAGUGCAUAACAGACCAGGGGCCUUAUUUAUCAACCAUGCAUAGCAAAGGUUCUAAUUUCUGGUGUGGGAAUGAAAUUUAGAAUGUGUGUAGGUACAAAAAAAAUCUGCAUUAUCAAACAUGCGGACACCGGUCGUACGCACACAUGUAAGUAAUCGGUGAUGAUAAAUCCCACCUGUUCUUUACUACCGUGCUCGUUCAUGUUUAGGGUCAUUUGCAUUCAGAAACACCUCCAACUAACCAUAUAUGGUAUCAACAAUCCCUUUAACAAUGUGCAUGGUCAGAGUUGUGCUUAAAUUUAUGCACGUUCCUAAGAAAAAGUACAGGUUGAUAAAUUCCAUACUUUGCAAGGGAAUGUUUGUACGCACUCACUAAGCACACAUCUGUGCGUACGCACGUUUGAUAAAUGAGGCCCCUGGUGUCUACUACGAUUGCUGCCUCUAAUGAUAUGGGGUUUGGUGCCUGAGGGUAACCAACACUGGGAACUGCUCCUUUCAUUACUUAGUUGCAUGGGGUUGAUCUUUUCUCCUGCACUGAAACAAGGGGCAGUAAUCCUUUUGCAUUACAUUGGAGCCUUGGUGUCCAGUUUCGUCACCAGGCCUCCAUUGCGCUGGAACUGAUUUAUCAACAACUGGCUUUUACUCUGUGUGUAUCCGGUUACACCGAUCAACCAAUACCCACACGGAUUAAAUAAACACCCCCCAUCACAUCGGCCAUGGCUGGAACGCUGCAAGAGAGACUUACCUGAGAUUUCCACCAACAGCGGGCCCUAUUCCGGGGCCCUUGCCAGUAAGUCUCCUCCCAUGUUGUCUGAGCUGCUACCUCACCACUGCGGGCUCCAGGACAGAGCCCUGGCAUGUAAGUGUCCUUCUCGGCACAGUCCAAUCCCCAAUCAAGACUGUCCUCUGUCAGAUCCUGCCUGGUGUCAUUGGCUGCCUGCUGGCUGUUGCUCUCUCUGUUUCAGCCAUGGCUCCAUGCUCCUCUCCAUCCAGCUGUGCCAGCUGCGCCUGUCUGGCGAAAAGAUCCAGGAGCUGGAGAGAAGGAUCUCCACCCUCUACCAGAUCCAGGAAGCCGAGAAACUCAUGGACACCAUCAUCUUCAGAACACCACAUCCCAACUCCACCGGCUCCUUGACAUUUUAACAGUCCUCCCCACUCUGUUAAAAUCUCUCCCAACUUCCAUCCAGAGAAUCAUAAUUCAUGUCGGUACAAAUGACACGUCCCUCCACCAGACCGAGCUCACGAAGGACCAUUUUACCCAACUUUUUAACUUCCUGAAGAACUUUGAAUUGUCUGUUUUUAUCAGCGGUCCCAUUCCCACUUCUGGUCGUGGCUGCGGGGGGCUUCAGCAGAGUGCUCAGCUUGCACACCUGGCUCCAAUCUGCCUGCCAAGCCCAUAGCUUUGCCUUCGUGGACAAUUUUAAUCUUUUUUGGAACCGUUUGUCCCUUUUUAAAUCGGAUGGUAUCCAGCCGAACACCACAGGUAGCCGCAUGCUAGCAGCUAACCUGCAGCACACUGUACACUGUUUCCCAUGUGACUGACUAUUUACUCCCCCCCCCCACACACACCCCUCUUCCUCUGUGGUGCACCCACUGUUGACAGGUCCUCCCCAGAGCUCCCCCUGCUGGCAAAUUCUGUCACUGACUCCCUCUGCCACAGGUCUUCCCGUCAUCUUUUCCCCACUCCCAAAUAAUCACAGUAGCAUCCAACUCCUCCCUAUUCCUGUCCAGAUCACCAACAGACACCACUCUGAUAGAAACACCACCCAGACUGUCAAUCACUCUGUUUUAGCAAGCCCAUCCAUGCUGGCUCCCAUCCUCACCAAACAUGACAAUACCUCUGUCAGCUUCGGACUUCUCAACAUCCACUCACUCACCAACAAGGGACACAUCAUCCACAAUCUCCUCACUGACCGCAAGCUGGACUUCCUCUGCACCACUGAAACAUGGCAACAACCAAAUGACUUCUCAUCACUCAACGACUCCACCCCCCCCGGACUUCACCUACCUCUCCCACCACCGCAGUCACGGCUGUGACUCUUGUGCUCUUCUCCUCAUUCGAACUUCUGGCACUUACACUCCUUGGACCCACUCCCACCAUCAUCGCCACCAUCUAUGCCCCCCCCCCCCAAGCCCCACACCAACUUCUUAAAUGACUUCUCUGUUCUACUCACCCAUCUAUGCACACUCUCACCAAACACGAUAAUACUGGGGGACUUCAAUAUCCACAUUGACAACACCAACCUGUCCCUAAACAGAGACUUCUCAUCAUGCCUGGACAGUUUUGGACUCCAUCAAUUCAUCAACUUCCCGACACACACUAAAGGACACACUCUGGAUCUACUCUGCUGCUCUGGCCUCAUCCCAUCCAACUGCACAGCCAAUGAUCUCCAUGUAAGUGACCACCUCCUCAUCUCCUUCAGUAUUCCUCUCUGCCUCUCUAGAAUUAAGUCACCACGCCUCAUUUCAUUCCGCAAUCUUAAGAACAUAAACAUUGACACUCUGCGCUCUAACAUUAACAAUAUUUUGAUCCUGGACUGUUCCGCUACCCCCAAUGAAAUAACAUCCCAUUACAACACCUGUUUAAAUAACAUCCUCAACUCCCUCGCUCCAGUCAAAACACGCUCUGUUUCCUUCUCCACAACUGCUCCCUGGUACAUCCCCAUCUCCGCUCCAUAAAACCAAUGGCCGCCAACUGGAAAGACUUAACAAGAAAACUGGACCCUCCAUUCACAAAGAAAUGUACACUAACCACAUUCGCCGCUACAAGGACUCAAUUUCUCAAGCCAAGACAGACCACUACUCCGCCCAGAUCAUCUCCAACAAAGGAAACACCAGGGGCCUCAUGUAUCAACGCUUGCGGCGCAAGAAAACCUUGCGUACGCCAAAAUCGGCGCACACGUCCAGAUUUAUCAUCGCGAAACGAGCGUCGGUUCCAGCGCUAAUCAACGCAAAGUCAGGAGGUGGUGUAGAAAUUGGCGUUGAGCUGAUAUUUGCGUUGACUGUGAUUCGCACUUUGGCGACGCUGUGUAGUGGUGUUUGGUGACUCACUAUGUGACAAGCGUGCACCACAUCCCCGUGGCCGAGCAGCACGUCGCCCCACAUGACGAACCAGCAGCAGACGGAGGGAUGCGAGCUGAUCCCUGCCGGGCCGCCGUCCUCGCGCGGGAGAAUCUCAUCGCCACAGUGUGAAUGGGUAAGAAGUGACUACACAGUUCAAUGAGCCAAAUUGAUUUAUUUUCUCCACCAGACGCUCGAGGACAUUUACGAGCCGGUCCAGCCGCUCGUUGAUCCCCGCGAUCCCCCUGAUGAUUUCUUCCUGCGAUUGCAGGACCCCCUCCGCGAGGAUCCUUCCACUGCGUCCGGGUGGUCCAGCGGAAGCGCCGCGGCUGGUGGACGCUCCACCGCUUGUCGGCGCGCUGGUGCUGAUGCUGGUGCUGGUGCUGGGGCCGGGGGCCAGAGUGGCCCGAAUGCCGCUGGUCCUGGCCGACGACUCCGAGCCGGCGGACGGGCUGCCGCGGGCCGGGGUUCCGCAAGCCGGCAACACGGCCGACACAUGGAUUUCUGUGACACAAUAAAAAUAUUGGUUCAUUUCAAUUCCUGCUUCUGUGUAUCUGUUGCGUUUACAUCUCUCUCCACGGUAUCAUAGGUAAUGUAAUCCAGUAUUUCGAGGUCAGUUAUGCACAUUACAGUUGUUUAUUGCAUAAAAAGUUAUCGAAAAAUUAAGUUAAGGGCGAAGUAUAAAUCACGUCUAAAAAUAGACUGAAUCCCGACGUUGAAAUGAAGUAUAAACUUAGACUAGACGUCUAAUAUACGUCUUUUGCUCAGUGGGAUGACAAAGCAUGUGGACAUUUGUGUGACACGCCACUUACCCUAUAAUAAUAAUCACCACCACCCGCUGCUCAAACGGUGUGAGGGUCUCCUCCCCCGGACCCCCACCUGUCUGGCCAGUACUCCUCCGGAGGGCAGCUGUACGCCGCUUGACCUCCACCUUGAGGUCCGACCACUUUUUUUUAAUCGUCGCGGGGGUGCGUGUCUCGGAACCCACCGCAUUCACCCUCUCGCAAACUUUCUCCCACUCCAAGCGUUUUUGUUUUGCACUGACGCCACUGGACAGGCUGCCAAACAAAACACGCUGUCGCUCCUCCACCUCCGCCACCAGCACCUCCACCUCGCACGCCGUAAAUGUCGUUUUUCUUGUCAUUUUGUCUGCGUGCGAGGACAGGGAGACCCUAUUUAAAUAAAUCUGCAUAUUUAUAGGAGGGCGUAACGGGGACGAGCCCAGUCACUCCGACAUCUGCGCUCAAUUCCACGCUGAUUGGGAUUUAUCAAGGAAACACACGUGGAUUUCGGCGCCCGCACACAUUGAUACAUACGAAUUUUUUUCAGCGUGACGGACCUUGCGUGCGCUCGUUUCUGGUAUGAGUUCCACGCAAGUGUUGAUACAUGAGGCCCCUGAUCACAAAUCUCUCCAGCCACUGGACUACCUCCCUCCCCACCUGUAUUCAACCGACACCUGCAACACCCUAAUGCAGUUUUUUAAUGACAAAAUCUCCAAUAUCCACCAACAACUGCACUCAGACUCUUUCCCACCCUCCUCCGUAGACUUUCCUCCAUCUGCAUCACCCACACCCCCCUCCACUGGUUCCACUCCUACCUCUCAGACCGCACACAGUUCAUCCAGCUCAAAUCCUUCAAGUCCGACCCCUCCCCAGUCAGUUCAGGUGUGCCCCAGGGCUCUGUCCUGGGGCCCCUGCUGUUCAUCACCUACCUCCUCCCCCUUGGUUCCAUCUUCCAUAAAUUCAACAUUCAAUAUCACUGCUACGCGGACGACACCCAGCUCUACCUCUCCAGCUCACCAAACUCCACCCACCCACCCACCUACCUCAUCACCUGCCUAUCCGAGAUUAAAUCCUGGUUCACCACCAACUUUCUCCAACUAAACAGUCAGAAAACAGAAAGUCUUCUAGUAGGUUCCAAAUUCACCCUAUCCAAAGUUGACAGUCUCUCCCUUCCCAUCGACAGUUCCUCAGUUUCCCCCUCCCCUCAGGUCAAGAGUCUGGGUGUCGUCCUUGACAGUACUCUUUCCUUCAAAUCCCACAUCAGCCCUACCACUCGGACUGCCUACUUCCAUCUCCGCCACAUCAAUCGACUCCGUCCCUCCCUCUCCUCCCUCUCCUCCAACACCACCUCCAUCCUCGUCCACAGUCUUGUCACCUCCCGUCUGGACUACUGCAACUCCCUCCUCUUCGGUCUCCCUCACACAUCUCUCCAUAAACUUCAACUGGUCCACAACUCCGCUGCCUGGAUCAUCACCAAAACCCCUUCGUCCCACCAUAUCACCCCAUCCUGCAGCAGCUCCACUGGCUCCCGGUCCCACUAAGAAUCCAGUUCAAAAUCCUCCUGUAUACCUUUAAAGCCAUCCACAACCUUGCCCCUCCUUACCUGUCUGACCUCCUCCACAUCGCCACUCCAUCACGCCGCCUCCGAUCCUCUUCCUCUCUUCACCUCACUGUGCCUCCUGUUCACCUCAGCACCAUGGGGGGGCAGAGCUUUCAGUCGCUCUGCCCCCCGACUCUGGAACUCUUUACCAUCACACAUCCGCAACAUAGACUCCCUCCCCCUCUUCAAGUCCAAACUCAAGACACACCUGUUUAAACUGGCCUAUCCCUCCCACCACCCCUAACUCACUUUUUUAAUUUAAUUUUAAUUGGUAUUAUUUAUUUCUUUGCUGUUGUUUAUGUCAAAUGUUUUAAUGUUGCUUUGUUGAUUUUAACUGUUUUGAUGAUUGAUGACAUUAAUUGUUAAUAGUGUUUGAUUAUUGUUUUAUAUGUUCUGUAAAGUGUCCUUGAGUGACGUGAAAGGCGCUUAAUAUAAAAUGUAUUAUUAUUAUUAUUUUUAUUAUUAUUAUCUUUUUUUACAUUGAGGAACAUUAUUGCCUAUAUUUUGAGCUUUACUACAGACAGACACUUGAAACCCAAACACCAUUUCA